GACGAAGGAUGCAAGUGUUAUCCGGAUUCAUUGGGUUUAAAGGGAGCGUAGGUGGCCUUAUAAGUCAGUGGUGAAAUCUCCGGGCUUAACCCGGAAACUGCCAUUGAUACUAUUUGUCUUGAAUACUGUGGAGGUCAGCGGAAUAUGUCAUGUAGCGGUGAAAUGCUUAGAUAUGACAUAGAACACCAAUUGCGAAGGCAGCUGGCUACACAAAUAUUGACACUGAGGCACGAAAGCGUGGGGAUCAAACAGG
rnacentral:rRNA from 1 species